UACAGAGGUGCCGAGCGUUAGGCGGAAUCACUGGGCUUAAAGCGCGUGUAGGUGGAUCGUUAAGUGUCUUGUGAAAUCCCACGGCUCAACCGUGGAACUGCUGGGCAUACUGACGAUCUUGAGGCACUCAGGGGCUGUCGGAACAAAUGGUGGAGCGGUGAAAUGCGUAGAUAUCAGGAGGAACACCAAUGGCGAAGGCAGCUCGCUGGGACGGUACUGACGCUGAGACGCGAAAGCGUGGGGAGCAAACAGG
rnacentral:rRNA from 1 species